rnacentral:rRNA from 2 species
CUUCGGCAAUGGGCGAAAGCCUGACCGAGCAACGCCGCGUGAAUGAUGAAGGCCUUCGGGUUGUAAAAUUCUGUUAUAAGGGAAGAAUGACUCUAGUAGGAAAUGGCUAGAGUGUGACGGUACCUUAUGAGAAAGCCACGGCUAACUACGUGCCAGCAGCCGCGGUAAUACGUAGGGGGCUAGCGUUAUCCGGAAUUACUGGGCGUAAAGGGUGCGUAGGUGGUUUCUUAAGUCAGAGGUGAAAGGCUACGGCUCAACCGUAGUAAGCCUUUGAAACUGGGAAACUUGAGUGCAGGAGAGGAGAGUGGAAUUCCUAGUGUAGCGGUGAAAUGCGUAGAUAUUAGGAGGAACACCAGUAGCGAAGGCGGCUCUCUGGACUGUAACUGACGCUGAGGCACGAAAGCGUGGGGAGCAAACAGG